UACGUAGGUGACAAGCGUUGUCCGGAUUUACUGGGCGUAAAGAGCGCGCAGGCGGUCGAUCAAGUCGAGUGUGAAAGCCCCCGGCUCAACUGGGGAGGGUCAUUCGAUACUGAUCGACUCGAAGGCAGGAGAGGGUAGUGGAAUUCCUGGUGUAGCGGUGAAAUGCGCAGAUAUCAGGAGGAACACCGAUGGCGAAGGCAGCUCACUGGGACGGUACUGACGCUGAGACGCGAAAGCGUGGGGAGCAAACAGG
rnacentral:rRNA from 1 species